CUUCACCAUUCUUUCACGGUUACACCCUUUCUCUACUUAAUUAAGAUCAAUUCAAAUCAUACGGCAUCCACACUUCAAAACGAACAACGAAGACAUUUCUAUAGGCUCGGGGAACCAUGGUCACACCUUAAGCACUAGGCUAAAGGUGAUGUCAUUUUGAAGCGAUGAGUCAUUCCAAAGACAAAGAUCGCUUCGAAAGGGUGCCCGAUGACCAAAUGUUUGGGUGACAUGCUCGCGAUUUCGAAGACAUGGAAGAUUUCUUGAAAUUAAGAAAUCUUAGGGCGACAUGCUCGCGAUACAGAAAUGCCCUUAUGAACCGUGAUAUUUUGAGGCUAUACAAUCUAUAUGGUGCUCCUCAAUAUGCAAUUUUACACAUGACAAUGACCAGGGAGUUCCAACUAUUUAGGACGUUACUGUGUCUAAGAAGAUGACGAGAGUGUGAUGGUCUUUUGGGUUUGGCUCAAUGAUGCAAACGAGGAAGAUGUUAUAUUUGGGAAUAUUGAACUACUAAGGUCUUUGGUUGUAACAUCAUAUUCGGUUAUAUAGGACAUGGAUUUGUGAUUUACAACAUGUGGACUAUGAGGAUGAAUAGAAUCAACUAUCAGUUUGCUUC